CAGCCUGCACGCGAUGCUGCUCGCUCCAGAGGAGAGAACCUGGGUGCUGAUGACAAGGACGUGGUCCAAGUGCCACCCCUGGGCAGUGCCGGCCACAGAGGGGAUGUGUUUGCCUGGCACAGGUGCAUUCCCAGUCUCAUAGAGCUGUGAAGGUGCCACACCAACACCUAAAAUGUGAAACCUGUGGAGAAUUCCUAUUGCUGUGCAGAGGCAAACCAUGGACACCCAGUUGUUCUCCCCCUUCCUGGGAGCAGCCCCCAGUGCCCCC